UACAGAGGGGGCAAGCGUUGUUCGGAAUUACUGGGCGUAAAGGGCGCGUAGGUGGUUCUGUAUGUCUACCGUGAAAGCGUACGGCUCAACCGUAUUUUGUCGGUGGAAACUGCAGGACUUGAGGCUGGGAGGGGCUGGUGGAAUUCCCUGUGUAGCGGUGAAAUGCGUAGAGAUGGGGGAGAACACUCGUGGCGAAGGCGGCCAGCUAGACCAGUUCUGACACUGAGGCGCGACAGCGUGGGGAGCAAACAGG
rnacentral:rRNA from 1 species